rnacentral:rRNA from 1 species
UACGUAGGGGGCUAGCGUUGUCCGGAAUCAUUGGGCGUAAAGCGCGUGUAGGCGGUCCGGUAAGUCCGCUGUGAAAGUCGGGGGCUCAACCCUCGGAUGCCGGUGGAUACUGUCGGGCUUGAGUACGGAAGAGGCGAGUGGAAUUCCUGGUGUAGCGGUGAAAUGCGCAGAUAUCGGGAGGAACACCAAUGGCGAAGGCAGCUCGCUGGGACGUUACUGACGCUGAGACGCGAGAGCGUGGGGAGCAAACAGG